rnacentral:lncRNA from 1 species
GCUAGAAAGACCAAUUCCCAGAAACAUUUUGUUAUGUGAAUAACUAUGCUAUUCAUAAGUUAAAAGGCCAGAGAUGUGUAUUAUGUAUGCUGAUAUUUAGUUGCCUUGAGGGAGCUGGAAAACAUUAAUGCAUCAAUGUGGUCAAACUGUAAGUACAGCUACAACUAUAUAUUUACUAACAUUUUGCCCAAAUGAACACUUGCCAUGAAGAGUUCUAUCAUUUAUAGUUCUAACAUUAGCAGAUCUUUAUAUAAGAACCCUCUUUAGAAUCUUGUAGUGAAUCUGGUUAUUUCUCUGGUUGCUAAGUUUUCUUCUUGUUGUUCAAAUAUUUAGAGGUUGCUAUUUUGUUCGGCUGUCUUAGCCAAGCUUAGACAUGCUUUAGUAUGUGUGAUUUUAAAAAAAUAAUUCCUUGCAUGUUCUUAACAUUUUCAGUGCUUCUUUUAGAAUGCUUUGCAUGUGUUGGUGAUGAGAUACCCAGAUCUGCACGCAGCAUUUCAAGGCUGAGUUGAGGGAACGAAAUUGCUCAGAUGCCUGAGGCGACAGACUGAGUUAACUUGAACAUUUUGAUUAUUCAAAUGAGAAUUAUCCAAAUGACCCAGAUUUCUUCCUUACUGCAUCAUGACAAAUUGCUAGACAAUGACACCUCUACUGUCUGCAUUUCUGUGGGCAGACACAUUUGGAUAGCCAUACAGUUGAAGAAAAAAUUCUCCUGUGUCUCUUUGCAACAAACCUGAUUCCAUUAGAAAGCAAUUUUAAACUCUAAAAGAAAU